GAUGUAGAAACGGGCCCCGGGGCUACCAACCCGUACGGUAAUUGCUAUUUAGAAACGUGGACCAAACUAGAGUACUGUAGGAGGGGGUAGAAUUUCAGGUGUAGCGGUAGAAAUGCGUAGAGAUCUGAAGGAAUACCGGUGGCGAAGGCCGGCCCCCCUGGACAGAUACUGACACUCAGAUGACGAAAGCGUGGGGAGCAAACAGGAUUAGAUACCCUGGUAG
rnacentral:rRNA from 1 species